AAAACCUUACCCAGAGCCAGGCAAACACUCACUCACAUCCUCAGUGGCUUUGUGAAUCCAGGUCUGCCAAGACAACUCCACCCACCCCUUCUCUCUCUGCAAAAAGUGAACAAACUAGCACAGAGAAACAUAAAGAAGACCAAACCUCAGCUGUGAAACAUUUCAGCAGAUCAGUAAUGGCCUGGAUCAGUAAUAUCUCCUGGUUAAACCACCUUGCUCUACAGGAAGAACGUUUCAGGGGGUACUUAAACAGCACUGAGGAUUACUUAGCCUUCCUAUGUGGGCCCAGACGGAGCCACCUGUUCCUGCCCAUGGCUUUGGUGUACACCCUGAUCUUCAUUGUUGGGGUGGUGGGGAACUUCUUAGUUUGCCUCGUAAUCCUCAAGCACCAGAACAUGAAGACCCCAACCAAUUAUUACCUCUUCAGUCUGGCAGUCUCAGACCUGCUCGUGCUGCUUUUCGGGAUGCCACUGGAAGUCUACGAGAUGUGGAGCAACUACCCCUUCCUGUUCGGGCCCGUCGGCUGCUACCUGAAGACGGCGCUCUUUGAGACUGUGUGCUUUGCCUCCAUCCUCAGCGUGACCACGCUCAGCGUGGAGAGGUACAUUGCCAUCCUCCACCCCUUCCGUGCCAAGCUGAAGAGCACCCGCAGGCGAGCCCUGAGGACCAUCCUGGCGCUCUGGGUCCUCUCUGUCCUCUUUGCCCUCCCCAACACGGGCACCCAUGGCAUCAUGCUGCAGCAUUUCCCCAACGGCACCCUGGUCCCCGGCUCUGCUACCUGCACUGUGGUCAUGCCCUUGUGGAUCUACAACUGUAUUGUCCAGAUUACUUCUCUUCUCUUCUAUGCGCUGCCCAUGGGGGUAAUAAGUGUGCUGUACUAUCUGAUGGGGCUAAGAUUGAAAGGAGAUGAAACUUUGGAAGUAGAGGAAAUGGCUGUGAAUGUUCAGAGACCAUCCAGGAAAUCAGUCACAAAGAUGUUGUUUGUCCUCGUGAUAGUUUUUGCUAUCUGCUGGGCUCCAUUCCAUAUAGAUCGACUUUUCUUCAGCUUUGUUGUGGAAUGGACUGAGCCUUUGGCUAACACAUUCAACUUAAUUCAUGUGGUCUCAGGUGUUUUCUUCUACCUGAGCUCUGCCACGAACCCCAUCAUUUACAACCUGUUGUCUCAGCGCUUCAGGAUGGCUUUCCUCAGUGUGAUUUCUCCUUGCUGCAAGCACUGGGCUCCUGAACAUCCCACUUGCAAGAUUUCUGCCCAGAAGAGCAUGUUUGUGAUUGAGGGUCACAAUCUCAUGGACUCUGCUGAAUACAUGAGUGCCCCUGGCACACACAGGACAUCUGUCAGCAGUUCUCAACUCUCCACUGGUCUGUGACUUUCCAUGUGAUGAUCCAGGUGAGAGAGGAGUUAAAGAAAAUUGCUUUAAGAAAACAAAAAGAGAAGAGACCUUCCUAAAAGACUGAUUUCAGCAAGAAAAGAUUGGAGAGGUGUUUCAUUGAGUAAAUUAAGGAGAAGAUUGUAUUUAACAUCUGUUUGAGAAGCAUUAUAUUACACUCAAGCUAAUAGUAGGGAUGGGACUCUCAGCUUGCUCACUGCAAGCUGUGCCAGUGAAGAGCUGCUUUUAAAAAGCGAGACACACUCCCAAUGUUACCAGCACAGGAGAGAGACGCAGCUUAGCCAGGUCAAUGGCUUUUUGUGCACCAACCUAAACAUCAGCGUUUACUUACUUUGAAAUGAGGCAACUUGCUGCAUAAGCCUUAUCUAUCUAGGUUUGGGUAAGCCAGUCCCACUUCUGUCUCCUAUGACCUUCUCGAGGUAUGGCUGUUGCAAACCUCUCUUGUCAACAUGAGCAAGUAGGCAAGAACGAGAGUAGCUCUGAGCUGGGCUGAUAGGCAUCAGAAACCAGCAAUAGCUAUUUCUGGGCCAGAAGAAUCAGGGAGCCAGUAAUUGUAAAAUAAAUGCAAAGUGAAACCUUUGCUUUCUGAGCAAGGUAAAGAUCUGGGUGGGGGGGAGUGAUUAAUGCAGCUGGUGGGGGAUAUCUGCCCAGGAAAUGUGCAUCAGACAGUUUUAUUUUUGCCCAUCCACCUGUGCGUGUACAAAUGGGUAGAUCCCUGCUAUGCCCCAUCUCCUGCAGUUUGUAAGAACUUCUUAUCAUUGCUUCAACUUCAGAUACUUAUGUGUUGUCUCCACCAGUGGAGCCUUGUAGUGCUUCAGCAGAUUUCACACCUGCCUGUACCAGGUGGAUUGCAAAGUCAGAGAUCUACAUGGAUCCAGGAAACAGCCUGGACAACAUUGACAACACAGGGAACUGGGGCAAACCUAAUACAAAGUGUGUGAGCAGAAAGUGUGGACAGCAGGGGCAGCACUGUGAACAAAACACGAAUAGUCUGAAAUGUACUGCAAGGAAACACUCAAAGGAAAGAAGAAUUGUGUUCAUUACUAGUGAGUGAUACUCUGAUCUAAUGCCAGAUUCAGUUGGAAAAGACACCAUGACAGCAGGUGGACAAUUCUGCUGAGUUUAUCCGAAGAGUUUUUGAACACUACUGUGUUUUGAAGUGUUUCAACCACAGCUUACCAGUAAAACU